rnacentral:lncRNA from 1 species
UGGAGAACCACUGGGCUAUAGAAUGAUGUCAAGGGCUGGAGAGGGAGGCUACAGAGUGGGUCUAGGUCCAGGUACAGUCUCAGAACCACACUGCAAAACUGGCUUAGUCAGGUAGCUGCUGUAUCUGCUGCUUCCACUGUGAACUCAAAAACCACAUUGCCUGUGCUGCAGGCCGGAAAGCUGCUGAACCAGGAAGCUGUGCUGAUGCUGCUGACUGCCCCUGAGGUUAGAGAUUGACUAGACAUAGUGCCACUGUCAUCCCUGCUGGAGAAGGUCCGAAGCACCUCCACCUCUGUGCUUCCAGAGGGGCACUGUGGUGGCCACUUAAAAUGCUCAGGCUAUACCAUGCACUAGAGCAUCUACCUGGGCAAGGGAUAUGCUGUAUGACACUCUCCUGAUGCUGGGCAUGGCUGUGAGCCAAAGCACCCAGGCAGCCCUGCCAUCAGAAGGGUAAACCACGGACACCUGAUGCCUUCCUGAAGGAAGAGCACUACGCCUGCCAAACCAUCAAGCGUUGAUGCUCCAGCGCCUUCUACCCGUGGUUCUCCAGCCUCAGCAGAAGAGAGAGAAAUUGAUGACCCUGUCGUUGUAGCAUCCCCAUCACCCAGCAAUUAAUUUUAGUUCAAUGCUUCAAACGCUCUUCAGGCGCAGUGUGCGUUCAGCUGUGUCAGCUAAUGCAAAUGGGGGAUCUCAGAAGUCUUAAUGAAGUAACUAUCCCUGAACACUGGGAUCAAUACUCAGCAUCCAGCUGUCAAAUCAACACCAAGCGUUUCACUCGUCGCCCAGCCUAGAGUGCAAUGGCGCUAUUUCGGCUCAUUAUAACCUCCGCCUCCCGGGUUCAAGCAAUUCUUCUGCUUCAGCGUCCCAAGUAGCUGGGAUUACAGGCCUUCAGUUGCAAAGUUCUCCAUUGUCAGAUUACGCUGCCUGAUGGGCAUGAAAAGUCCACAAAAGAGAAUUUUCUGAUGUGAGAAUGGAGGGUGUUGCCUGCAACUACCCCAGAUCCCUGCGGUGGCAGUUUAAGCCGCCUCCUGGAGCAGAUUGUUAAGCUGAUGCGAGUCUGGGCUCUGCCUCACCACUUGUCUCAGAGGAAAGACCUGAUGUCAUAUGGAAGCCAAGAAGAAACUCUUGUCCAAUUUGUAGGGAAAGCAGAGAGACAGAGAGACAGAGAGAGCUUCAGCUUGGUUUCAAAACAAGGAUGGAAAUACAGAACAACUUAAGUUACCAGCACACUUCAUAACAAUUAAAAAUCAUCUCGCUUCUUCCUUCUGCCAGCAUAAUUUUGGGCUCACAGGUGGAUUGACCUGACCUCCAAGAAAUGUGUGACAAGGACUCGCCCCUUACCUCCUCAGUUACAGCACGUUUGGUGUUUAUGUGAAGCUGGUGGCUUUCAGUAUCAUGGUGAAAAUUUUCUUUUAGGUCAUAAUUGCUUAACUACAAUGAAAAGUAUUGAUUUUGGAAAAGGCUCAUCUUCCCAAAGAGGUUCACUUCAGGAGGUGAAUUAAUGUGCUCCAGGGACAGUCAUGGAAAAUGCUUGGCCACACUGGCCGUGUUCUGUAGCCAGGCAUUGCUGAACAGUGCAGAGAAAGGCGCUGGAGGCAGACAGAGCUGGGCUGGAAGCCAGGCUCCACUUCAUACCAGAAGUAUGAGCCCGGGCAAGUUAUUGAACUUCUACAGCUUAGUUUACGUAGCUGUGAAAAUGGAUGAAUAAUGCCUGCUUGUGCUGUUGUUAGGGAGGGGACGCCUGCUUGGAGGCGAGUAUGCAGUAGGUGCUCAGUGAGUGGUGAUGAGAUAAAAAGCAAUGCUGCUCAUUUUCUAUAUUUCUCUUUUCAUACUUAUUGAGAUUACAAUGGAGAGAAGGGACACCAGCUUAAAAGAAAACAUUUGCAAAUCUGUUUCUGAUAAAUGGAAAUGAGAGCAACUGUAAACCACAUGAGUCUGUCCAGGACAGAAGAGAGUGAGUGAAGGAAGGCUUUCUCAGCUGGGUGGUUAUGUGAGCAGCGCCUCUACUGCCUCUCUGUUAAGUAAUUUAUCUGGACAUCUUGAUUGAUAAUGAUGUGGCACUAAAAAACGAAAAGGCAUCACAAAACUGCAAACCCUCUGCUUGCACUGUGGGAAUAAAAUUGGUCACGAAAAGGUGAUGGCCACAAAAAUCUGGUGGCGGGGUGGGGGGCGGGGGGUGCGGGGAAUAGAAAAUCUUACAUAAUAUCUAUUCCUGUGUUAUUUUUUUAAAAUCAGUUUAUACAGUCUAAUUUUUAAAAACAAAAGCUAGAUUUUAGCUCUUCUCAAUCCAGUGAUUUGAAAUCAGCCUGAAGAGAGCAAGGUGCAUUGAAUUUGCUAUGACAUCAACCGAAUUUGUCAAUUUCAUUUGGAUUUCCAGAAUGUCCAGUGCUAGGAGACUCAUAAGUUGGAGAGAAACGGCCUGAUUUAUAGAAACUGAGCGAGACUCCGGACCACCUGAUGCAGAGAAACCUGUGACCUGAAAAAGUCUAUUUGUGUUUCCUCUAGGAAUCUCGGCCAAGAAGACAGGGACAAGCUCCCAACUCUGACUACCCCUUUUACAGGGAAAAAAAAAAAAUCCCGUGCCUUCUUUGCAGCAAGUGACAAAUCCUUGUCAUAUCGAGAUGGCUUUUCCUCCUCCUCUUCAAACAUCUUUUAGCAGCAACAGCAGCUCAAGUAACUGGAAUUAUUUCAGAGUUAAAAUGCAGGCUUUGUAGACCCUCUUAGACAGACAGAUUCAAUUUCAAAGGAAACUUCUUUGGCUGGGUACUCAGUGAGUGUUACACAGGGAUUUGGGGAGUUAAUAUUCACUGUUUCUGUUGUUGGAGAAAAGGAAAGCAGAGUUGCUCUUUCUCAUUACUCUCCCCAACGCACAUCUGUUUCCUCUCGUAUCUUGGAAUUAGGAAGAUGGAGGAGACUUAAGUGGUGACCCACCUAGCCUCCUGAUGCAUGCUGGGCUCACUUUAAAACUCCCAAAACAGAUGGCAGUUGAUCACGGUUUUAAAGAUCCCAGCAUAGACUUUCUGCAGCCUCCCUUGUUAGCCACUAUCAGCGCUUAACAUUCUGUCAUCUGAAUAACUCCUUAAAAAUGAUAGCAAUGGUAGUAGAAAUUUAAAAGGAACCUCCCAAAAAACAUGCAAAAGCUUACCACCCCAGUAAAUCACCCGCAACAAUGUCGCAACAGUUUAAAUUUACUGCAGAGAGAGCUGAAGUUUAGGAGACACAGCUUUAUAAUAUUUUUGAGAGAUAGUUGAGUGCAAAUGAGUCCUGUUCCUCUUGCAUCAGGGCCUGCUCCACUGAGUCAUCCUGCCUUCAGAAGCUUCCAGCUAAGUGGCAGGCCCCGGCCAUAGGCUCCCUGUGUCCCCAGCCUCCAGAGAACACACAAUGUUCUCAUCGCCCUUAGCUCCAUUCCAGAAGGGGCCUGCAGUUCUGCAGCUUAUCAGGGGUCUACUGGGAAGUGAGAUGUCACUGUCCCUUUCUGGCCCUGCAUUGUCUGUGAGUGGCUCUCCUGGAUUAAGAGUUGGCAAAGUAUGGCCAGUGGCCAGGACUGGCCUGCUGCCUGUUUUUGUUUAACCCGUGAGCUAAGAAUAGUUUUUACCUAUUUUAAGUAGUUGAAAAAAAAAUCAAGAGAAGAAUACUAUUUCGUGAUAUGUGAAAAAUCACAUGAAAUUCAAAUGUAAGUGUCCAUAAAUAAAGUCUUACUGGAAGACAGCCUUGCUCAUUUAUUUCUGUCUCAUUCGCUACUGUCUGCGGCUGCCUUCACGCUACAAUGGCAGUACUGAGUAGUUGUGACGGGCACUGUAUGACAGCAAAUCCUAAAGUAUUUGCCAUCUGGCCCUUCACAGAAAAAGUUUGCUGACCCUGGCUUUCGAGCCUCUCAUCACUUUGGGAUUCAUCUCUUUACUUUCCCCAGAGUGAGGGAGGCAGUAACGUUCCUCGUGAGUGCUUAGUCCUUGCUCCCAAGGCAAUAAACCCCCCAAAACCCCUCUCUUUCUGCAGUCUUCUUGUUGGCUUGAUAGUGGUAGGGCUGGUUCAGCCAAGGUCACAGUUGGAGGGCAGGAAGGGGGUACAGCGAAGGACGACGGGGGUGUCUUCUCUAGUCCUGUUUGCAGCAAUCUUUAGAAUGCAAAAUAAUUAAGAAGAAACUGCUGUUUUUUGGCUGUGGGAUGCAAUUCGAAUUCUGGAAAAUUAGAAUCAACAGAACGUGGGAUGUGGGAGUCCAGGACAACUCCCCUGUUUUGGCUGUGUUUGGUGCCAUGUGUGGAGGUGGGAGAGAUGGGAGAAAGAAGAGGUUUGGGCAGGGGGAGGGAAGAAUCAAGAUUCUGCUUUGAAUGGACGAAGGUUGUGGUUUGUUGAGAGGACAACUAGAUAACUGGCCACUUGAAGAUGGGAUGGAAGUCUGAAUCUGCAAGGAGUCACAGAUGAAUGGUAUGGAAAGCUGUGGUAGUGGAUGAGAUCAUACGAACGGUGGGUGCAGAUGGAAACGAGAAGCCAUCUAAGGACUCGUAAUGGGCUCCUCAACACUUGGAAGUUGGGUAGAGGAAGAAGACCGCAUGAGGGCAGGAUCCUGAAUGUUCCACUCACUGCUAUAUCCCUAGCACUGGUUACAGUGCUUGGCACACACUGCAUGCUCAAUAAAUUAUUUGUUGCCCAUAUAAGUGAACGUGAAUUCCAAUGGACUAGCAUCUUCCACUCUCAACAUAAACAAAAACAACAGCAACAUUGCAAUUCCCUAUCUUCUCUUCCCUGAUCUCUUUCUCAUUCUGUCUCUCCUUCCCUUUUCCUCUGCCUUCCUGUUGCCUUCUCUGAUAUGAGUUAAAUUUAUCAGGGGUGUCCAGGUACCCGGCUAUUCUUGAGCAUUCCUUAUCUGGCUA